CUGGGAAGGGGCUCUCACCCUCCUGCCUCCUCUUCCUCCUGCAGCCUCUGUGGCCUCCUAUGAGCUGACGCAGCCGCCCUCCGUGUCGGUGAGCCCAGGACAGAUGGCCAAGCUCACGUGUGGGGGAAACAACAUUGGAAGUAAAUAUACUCACUGGUAUCAGCAGAAGCCCGGCCAGGCCCCCGUGCUGGUCAUCUAUAGAAAUAACAACCGGCCCUCAGGGAUCCCAGACCGAUACUCAGGCACCAACUCAGGGAACACGGCCACCCUGACCAUCAGCGGGGUCCAGGCCCAGGACGAGGCCGACUAUUACUGUCAGGUGUGGGACAGCAGUGCUGAUGCUCACAGUGACACAGGCGGAUGGGGAAGUGGGACAGAAACCUCCCUGUGUCACCCUCUCCUCCAGCCUCGAGGGCUGCAGACCAAGCCCUGAGCACGGCUGCCCGUCUGUGUGGAGCGAGAGCAGGGGCAGCUUCGGGCACCUGUGGACGAUCCCACAUGGAGCCCUGUCAGCCAUGGGUCCUGUCCGGGAGCAGGAGGCCCAUGACGAGUGUGGGUGCAUCGGGACGGCCCCCGGGAGGGGCCUGGACACCGUGAGCGGGAACGUCUGUAACA